AUCCAACGGACAAAAAUCAUCCACCGCUUCAGAUCCGACGAACCAUACCUCCCUCAGCUCCCACCGCGCACCAUCAUCGCCGCACCCUCGCUCUCCCCGCGUCGCGCCGCCCCCCAAUCCCAAACCCCGCAGCAGCUCCACCUGCGCCGCCGUCGGAUCGACGGGAAAGAACCGCGGACCGCCGCGCUUGCACCAGCAUCCAGAUCAGCGCCGCCUCGCCGAUCUCCUCUGCGCCGCCGCCCACGAUUUGCUGCCGGCGCUCACAAAUUGUCGUCGUCACGAAAUCGCAACCCUAAUCUCCCCACACCGCGCCGCCGCCCCUCGCCUCUCCACCGCACCGGUCUCCUCUGCGAGCGCCGUCGCUCCCUGCCUCUCCACCGCGCCGUCGUCCUCGCCGCCACCCUACGGCUCUCCACCACACUGCCAUCCACUACGCCACCCUCCGCUCGUCGUGCCGCCCACAUCGACGGGAGACUGCCCGUUAAGGGCGAGCCCGUCCUCCGUCGUCUUCCCGUCGCACGCGGAGGCAGCGAUAUUCUCCUUCGCCCACGAUUUUCUUCGUCUUCUUCGUCUCUCUCCCCUUCUCCCACGGCUUGCUGCUGCUGCCCAUAUCAGCCGGACCCCAUCUCCGGCGGCAUCCCUCCCCAGGCGGCAGGCGACGGUGUGUGCUGAUGCCCCCACGUCGGCGGUGUCCUGGCGGUCGUCUCCCGUGGCGGCGGCGUCCUGUCCUGUCAAGCGGCGUGCUGACAACAGAAACACUUAUAGGAUUUGGCGCUGAAAAUUUUUUAUGCCCUUUGAACAACAAAGCAUGUUCAUUAUAUUGACAUCAACAAAAAUUUCUGCUAUCAGAUGUGCUGCAAAAAUCGAGAUGUUGAGGUUAUAUAAUUUAGUGCUGAAAAGUUAAUGUUCUGUUUCAGGUGCCUGCAAUGAUUUUAUCUAGACAUAUGCUGGUGCUGAGUCCAUUGCUUGCCUUGAUGUCGGAUCAACUGAGGAAGCUCCCUGCAUUUAUGCAAGAUGGCCUUUUUGCGAGCAGUUAGGAGCACAAGUGGACUAGGACUGAGCAUGCUAAUUCAAACAGGCAUCCAGUGUGAACUAUGUGGGGCUGUGGGCAAAUUCAGUAAAUAACCUGCUCGUGGCAAAUUGAGGACUAAAAUUUUGAUUUUGAGCACCAUCGGUGCCUUUUUGGUGUGGGCUGUCAAGACCAUCGACAGCUUCCUCCCUUGUCCCCACCGGCCAUCCGCUCCGCAAGGUGAUAGACGUUUUCCUUGUAUCGUGACGUUCAUGAAUAAUGUAGUCAUGCCAUAUGAAGCAAUUGUAUACUUGUAUGUGACCUUUUUGGCGGUUGAUUGAAAAGUAAAUGAUUGGAUCUGGGUGAUUGAAUAAAGUGCUUUUAGUAUUCAGCUUGAUUUCAUGAAGCAGACUCAUCAUGAAUUACUAUGUGUUCUCCCAAUUGCCAAAUUCAGUUCUAUUUCUCAGUAAAAUUUAGAUUUCCAAACAUUUUCUCAUUUUCUUUUCAUGCCAGAUCAAAGAAGUCAUAUGAGAUAUAGAUUAUAAACUUGAAUUUAGCAGAUGGUGAUGGAUGGUUUGGACAUGUAAACGAGAUAAACUACCUUACCACAUCAAAUACUCCGACAUUAGAUAAUGCAUACUAUUAUAAACGAUAUAUAGAUCAAACAUUAGAUGAUUAUAUCCGGUUUGGACUUUUUUUAUGUCUAUGUGUUAAUUGUGAAGUUGUACAUUACCAAUUAGAUUUUUACGAAAGAUAGAGGUCAUGAUAUUUUACUCACAUGGCUAAAGAUUAACAAUAUAAUAACUUGCUUUGUCAUUCAGUUUUUAAAUUUUAACUUGUCUCAUUUAAUGCUUGAUUGGCAAAAAAUAUAUAUUCUUUUAAUUAUUUAUUUUGCAUUUCUAAAUGCUACCGUAGCGUUAGCACGGGCCAAUUACUAGUCUACCCUAUAAUUCACCAACUCACUCUUACACCUACGUACUCAUUCAUCAAAUCCAACGACCGAGAAUCAUCGAAUCCAAUGGCUCAGCUCCUCCCACGUAUCUCCCCGCAACCUCACACUAAUCUCCCGCACGCAUUUCCCUCUCCCCCUCCACUCUCGCACAACCUCCUCUCUCUCUCUCUCUCCCCACGCCAACCGCAGCGCCGCCGCCGAUGCCGCCGUCGAUUCCGACGCGCCGCAAUCGCGCCGACGCCGCCCACGUCCCGCCAUCGAGCCGCCGUCGACUCCCGCCUUCAGAUCGAUGCCAUUGAUGCCCCAUCACGCCUUCACAUCGACGCCACCGGCGAUUCCCGUCUCUCCACCUUGACCCUCACGCCAAUCGUCACCGAAUCCCGCCUCCAUAUCGAUGUCGCCGACGCCCCAACCAGCACGUCGAUUCCCGCCUCCAGAUGACACCACCAGCGCCCCUCACGACGAUCGUCGUCGAUUCCCGCCUCCAGAUUGACACCGCCAAAGCCCCCACACAAUGCAGAUCGUUGUCACGCGCUGUUGAUCCCCGGCCCCUCGCGCCGCCACCGGGACUGCUCGCCCACGCGCCCCCUUCUAUACCGCGACGCCGCCGCCGACUCCCUCGUGCCAUCUGCUCUCCUUUGCGCCUCCACCUUAGCCCUCUCCACCGCGAUGCGAACAAGGGUCAUGUAUGGUGGAUGCAAGUAUGGAUUCAGAUCAUGGUGGAUGUAUACAUCAAUUUUAGGUUUUCGUACAUGAACCAAAGGCUGAAAUUUUUAUGGGACGGGGCAACAUCUAAUUUUAUGGAGACAAGCUCCAUCGCCGCCCCAUGGAGACACCAUUCUCUGCCGCUGGACCACCGUCGCCCUGCCUCGAUCGGUGGCACCGACACGUAGCUGUGUCCUCCAUCAAUGUGCUACUGCCCCCAUUGCCUCAAGAUCCACCGCUGCCCCUGGUCAUGCAUGGUGGAUGUAUGUAUGGUUUCAUAUUGUGGUUUUGGAAAAAAAAUAUUGAGUUUAGGGUUUUUAAUGCAACCUUGUAUCAUGCAUGACUGGGGAUCGUUGGGUCUUAGGGAAUGCACUACAAAAUGAAUUUUGGUAGAAAAAUGGAACAAAACAAACAUGCAUAUUGGAACUUCAUGGAAGAGAAUAUGCGUGUGUGUGUGUGUGUGUGUUAGUUUAUCUGGUAUGAUAAAAUGGUAAAUGGACCCGGCUAGCUUUGUCAAAUCAGUUUAUUAAAAACUGAUAUAAAAAUUAGUGUCUUCUACAUCUUAAUGUGUCAUAUAUGUAACGGUUGUACUUGAGAUUCAGGGUUUUCUAAUAUGGGGUCAAUAGGGAUUGAGGUUCUGUGAGAUGGACCUAACUGAUAGCCUGAGCAUAGGGUAGGAAGGGGCCACAUUUUUUAUUAAUGAUCUCUAUAUUUUAGGGUCGGCAUUUAAGCUUGUAAAAAGCUGAAUACUUGAGAUAAAG